rnacentral:lncRNA from 1 species
CGGAACGUCGGAAACUAUUUGAAAAACCUCAGGGAAAAAAUGAUGUUCCUGAAAAAAUAUUUGGUAAGUGUUUCUUACACCCUUUGCCCCAUAACCUUUUAAACAACUGCUAACAUUCCCUGCCUUUCUUUCUCUAUGCCAUCCAUUAGCUCAUCCUUCCUUUCUUCCAUAUUUAAGAUUUUUGAAUAUGAAGAAAAAAAUAAAAGUUCCCAUCUGAGCCGAAACGAAUCCGACUCAGAACCAUGAGGUUGCAGGUUCGAUCCCUGGCCUUUCUCGGUGGGUUAAGAAUCCGGGGUUGCCAUGAGCUGUGCUGUAAGUCACAGAUGUGGCUGGGAUCUGGCGGUUGCUUUGGCUCUGGCAUAGGCCAGCAGCAACAGCUACUAUUCGACCCCCUAGCCUGGGGACCUUCAUAUGCCACAGGCGCAGCCCUAAAAAGGACAAAAGACAAGAAAGAAAGAAGGAAAGAAAGAAAGGAAGAGAGAAAGAAAGAAAGAAAGAAAGAAAGAAAGAAAGAAAGAAAGAAAGAAAGAAAGAAAAAGAAAGAAAGAAAGAAAGGAGGGAGGGAGGGAGGGAGGAAGGAAGAAAGAUUUUGAAUACGGACUACUCCCAUAUUAAUUUCUUCCCUCUCUUUUGCCUAAUUCCAUCCCUUCCUAAUACUUGUUUUCCUUUACAUGCCUUUUCUUCUCUUUAAACAUAGGUGGAAAAACGAACAACAAAAAACACCUUUUAUGUCUCCAGAGAAUUGCCCUGCUUUAAUUAUGACUUUUGGAGGGAUAGCAGUGUUAGGCUGAUCACUACCUCCCUUCAAUUCUCUAUAUAUUUUCUUGCAAAUCACCAUAGAUGUAGAAUGUCUGUGACAUUUCAAAUUCAAGGGACAGUAAUUAAGCAACUGACACUGACCCACAACCUCUUUGGGUGGAAAGCUCCAAAUCUGCUAAAUAAAUGUCUUCCACCUUCUGCUCUUUCA